GCCAGGAUGGCGGAAUUGGCAGACGCAGUGGAUUCAAAAUCCACCGGUGGAAACACCAUGGGGGUUCGAGUCCCCCUCCUGGUACCA
rnacentral:tRNA from 2 species